rnacentral:rRNA from 1 species
CAAACAAAUCAUACCACCUUCUCAAUGUCCGAUCUCUCAAGGUAAACAGGGUUGGGCCUAGUUAGUACUUGGAUGGGAGACCGCUGGGAAUACCAAGUGC